rnacentral:lncRNA from 1 species
UUGCCAAACCAAAACACUGAAACAAAGUGGCGUGGAUUCACUGCUUCUUUUCAAAUCGAAUACAUUUUUCGCUAAUUAUUCUUUCAAAUCAGAUCCGUACCCCGUGAAGUUAGGUAUAUCGGAGUUUAUGCACGGAAUCGGGAAUGGAGUAGAGACGUAAAGCUUGAAUCCAAAUUUGGAGUUUUAAAGAAUCUAUUGCUUUGCUCGAUCUAUGAAGCUGAAUAAGCUCAAUGUUGGAGCCGAACUGAAUGUUUGCGAACAUUGUCCAGCAGGCUGGUCUUCGGGUAUAACUGAUGGCUUUGGUGGUGAGUGAUCCAUGCUGUGAUUAUUUCAGACAAAAAAAUGAGUGAACGGUGAAGACUGCUUCUCAAGUUCUCAUUAUAUAGAAGAACACAACUGCAGCAGAAAAACUGCUCAAACGUGGGAUGGUGCUGUUCGGUUCAGUUAUGUAGGAACAUGGACAGAAAAACAUGCUUGCUGCAAGUAACCGCUCAGAACCGCCUUCAAUAGCGGUUAAAAUUAAGAGUUUAAACGGCCCAGAUUUAAUCUCAGCAUAAUCGAACGGAUGAUAUUGAUUUCAAAGGUCACGGUGUAUAUCGGAUGUCAAACGACUGGAAAACGGACGUGGGUCUGAACAGUCUCAUUAGUUGCAAGGCCCUUCUCUGGCUCAACCUAGCGUGAAACGAAACUUUCAAAUUAGAAGAGGCUGUAAUUGGGAGUUUCAACGUACCCCACUUAUCGACUACAUGAUAGUUUCUUCGUCUAUCAAUUGAAAACCGGUGGGAAUUUAAAUCAGCAGUUGCAAACAUGGUACAAAAGUGGAGAUUCAGUUGUUAAUAUCUAAAUGCAAGUUAACCAAACAAAAUUAUAUAUCAUAGAUAAACUAUCUAAUUAUACGUUUAUAUUUUAUAAUGACUCUUUGCAGUUAAUUAAAUGAUGCACACUGUUCUAUUACAGGUUUGAAUUGAAACAACUAAGUAUGUAAUUUGAUAUAAACAAGUAUGUUUGUUUUUUGUUUAGUAUAUAGGUUUGUUUU